CAGGCAGUAGCUUGCUAUUUGCUGACGACCGGCGCACGGGAUGCGUAACGCGUAUAGAAUCUACCUUAUACUGGGGGAUAGCCUUUGGAAACGAAGAUUAAUACCCCAUAGUAUUAUUUUUUGGCAUCAUUAAAUAAUUAAAGUUUCGGCGGUAUAAGAUGACUAUGCGUUCUAUUAGUUAGUUGGUAAGGUAACGGCUUACCAAGACUUCGAUAGAUAGGGGUCCUGAGAGGGAGAUCCCCCACACUGGUACUGAGACACGGACCAGACUCCUACGGGAGGCAGCAGUGAGGAAUAUUGGACAAUGGAGGCAACUCUGAUCCAGCCAUGCCGCGUGUAGGAAGACUGCCCUAUGGGUUGUAAACUACUUUUAUAUGGGAAGAAUAAGGUCUACGUGUAGAUCGAUGACGGUACCAUAAGAAUAAGCACCGGCUAACUCCGUGCCAGCAGCCGCGGUAAUACGGAGGGUGCAAGCGUUAUCCGGAAUCAUUGGGUUUAAAGGGUCCGUAGGCGGGCAUAUAAGUCAGUGGUGAAAGUCUGUGGCUCAACCAUAGAAUUGCCAUUGAUACUGUAUGUCUUGAAUUAUUGUGAAGUGGUUAGAAUAUGUAGUGUAGCGGUGAAAUGCUUAGAGAUUACAUAGAAUACCGAUUGCGAAGGCAGAUCACUAACAAUAUAUUGACGCUGAUGGACGAAAGCGUAGGUAGCGAACAGGAUUAGAUACCCUGGUAGUCUACGCCGUAAACGAUGGAUACUAGUUGUUUGGCCUUCGGGCUGAGUGACUAAGCGAAAGUGAUAAGUAUCCCACCUGGGGAGUACGUUCGCAAGAAUGAAACUCAAAGGAAUUGACGGGGGCCCGCACAAGCGGUGGAGCAUGUGGUUUAAUUCGAUGAUACGCGAGGAACCUUACCAGGGCUUAAAUGUAGUCUGACAGCUUUAGAGAUAGAGUUUUCUUCGGACAGAUUACAAGGUGCUGCAUGGUUGUCGUCAGCUCGUGCCGUGAGGUGUCAGGUUAAGUCCUAUAACGAGCGCAACCCCUGUGGUUAGUUGCCAGCGAGUAAUGUCGGGAACUCUAGCCAGACUGCCGGUGCAAACCGUGAGGAAGGUGGGGAUGACGUCAAAUCAUCACGGCCCUUACGUCCUGGGCCACACACGUGCUACAAUGGUAGGGACAGAGAGCAGCCACUUAGCGAUAAGGAGCGAAUCUAUAAACCCUAUCUCAGUUCGGAUUGGAGUCUGCAACUCGACUCCAUGAAGCUGGAAUCGCUAGUAAUCGGAUAUCAGCCAUGAUCCGGUGAAUACGUUCCCGGGCCUUGUACACACCGCCCGCUCAAGCCAUGGAAGCU
rnacentral:rRNA from 1 species